CAAGGUCGAGCGAACUUCCGUUGAUUUAUGUAUCGAUUUACUUGUACUGAUUGAGAUUUUAACACAAAUUGAGUGGCUAACGGGUGAAUAACACUUGCUUCACCUGCCCAGAAGUAGGGGAUAACACCUGGAAACAGAUGCUAAUACCGUAUAACAGAGAAAACCGCAUGGUUUUCUUUUAAAAGAUGGCUCUGCUAUCACUUCUGGAUGGACCCGCGGCGUAUUAGCUAGUUGGUGAGGUAAAGGCUCACCAAGGCAGUGAUACGUAGCCGACCUGAGAGGGUAAUCGGCCACAUUGGGACUGAGACACGGCCCAAACUCCUACGGGAGGCAGCAGUAGGGAAUCUUCCACAAUGGACGCAAGUCUGAUGGAGCAACGCCGCGUGAGUGAAGAAGGGUUUCGGCUCGUAAAGCUCUGUUGUUAAAGAAGAACGUGGGUAAGAGUAACUGUUUACCCAGUGACGGUAUUUAACCAGAAAGCCACGGCUAACUACGUGCCAGCAGCCGCGGUAAUACGUAGGUGGCAAGCGUUAUCCGGAUUUAUUGGGCGUAAAGCGAGCGCAGGCGGUCUUUUAAGUCUAAUGUGAAAGCCUUCGGCUCAACCGAAGAAGUGCAUUGGAAACUGGGAGACUUGAGUGCAGAAGAGGACAGUGGAACUCCAUGUGUAGCGGUGAAAUGCGUAGAUAUAUGGAAGAACACCAGUGGCGAAGGCGGCUGUCUGGUCUGCAACUGACGCUGAGGCUCGAAAGCAUGGGUAGCGAACAGGAUUAGAUACCCUGGUAGUCCAUGCCGUAAACGAUGAUUACUAAGUGUUGGAGGGUUUCCGCCCUUCAGUGCUGCAGCUAACGCAUUAAGUAAUCCGCCUGGGGAGUACGACCGCAAGGUUGAAACUCAAAAGAAUUGACGGGGGCCCGCACAAGCGGUGGAGCAUGUGGUUUAAUUCGAAGCUACGCGAAGAACCUUACCAGGUCUUGACAUCUUCUGACAGUCUAAGAGAUUAGAGGUUCCCUUCGGGGACAGAAUGACAGGUGGUGCAUGGUUGUCGUCAGCUCGUGUCGUGAGAUGUUGGGUUAAGUCCCGCAACGAGCGCAACCCUUAUUACUAGUUGCCAGCAUUAAGUUGGGCACUCUAGUGAGACUGCCGGUGACAAACCGGAGGAAGGUGGGGACGACGUCAAAUCAUCAUGCCCCUUAUGACCUGGGCUACACACGUGCUACAAUGGAUGGUACAACGAGUCGCGAACCGCG
rnacentral:rRNA from 1 species